UUAAAGGGUCCGUAGGCGGGCCGAUAAGUCAGGGGUGAAAGUCUGCCGCUCAACGGUAGAAUUGCCUUUGAUACUGUCGGUCUUGAGUUAUGGUGAAGUUGGCGGAAUAUGUAGUGUAGCGGUGAAAUGCAUAGAUAUUACAUAGAACACCGAUUGCGAAGGCAGCUGACUAACCAUCGACUGACGCUGAUGGACGAAAGCGUGGGGAGCGAACAGGAUUAGAUACCCUGGUAGUCCACGCCGUAAACGAUGGAUACUAGCUGUCCGGGUCCUUGAGACCUGGGCGGCCAAGCGAAAGUGAUAAGUAUCCCACCUGGGGAGUACGUUCGCAAGAAUGAAACUCAAAGGAAUUGACGGGGGCCCGCACAAGCGGUGGAGCAUGUGGUUUAAUUCGAUGAUACGCGAGGAACCUUACCAGGGCUUAAAUGCAUAUUGACAGGGUCAGAGAUGACUUUUCCUUCGGGCAAUUUGCAAGGUGCUGCAUGGUUGUCGUCAGCUCGUGCCGUGAGGUGUCAGGUUAAGUCCUAUAACGAGCGCAACCCCUACCGUUAGUUGCCAGCGAGUCAUGUCGGGGACUCUAACGGGACUGCCGGUGCAAACCGUGAGGAAGGUGGGGACGACGUCAAAUCAUCACGGCCCUUACGUCCUGGGCCACACACGUGCUACAAUGGCCGGUACAGCGGGAAGCCAUGCGGUAACGCAGAGCGGAUCCACAAAACCGGUCACAGUUCGGAUCGGGGUCUGCAACUCGACCCCGUGAAGCUGGAAUCGCUAGUAAUCGGAUAUCACGCCAUGAUCCGGUGAAUACGUUCCCGGGCCUUGUACACACCGCCCGUCAAGCCAUGGAAGCCGGGAGUGCCUGAAGUCCGUCACCG
rnacentral:rRNA from 1 species